GCUGUGGAAUCCUGGGGGAUCCCCACAUAGCUGUGGGGAGGGCCAUUGGACUUGUGCUAACCUGGGACUUGGGCAUUAAAAAGGGGCUAGGGACCCCUGAGAAUCCAGCACCGGUCGGUUGAGUCACAUGCUAGGUAAUCACCUAAGCCAGGUGGAAGCCCUUAGUUUCCAGGGCUGGACUCGGGCGGGGCUGGCUAUCUGGUGUAGAAGGAGCCAGUGCUGGAGGCCUGAGGAGGCCCUGUGGCUUCAAAAGUACUCCUGGAAAAAUGGUUAACUCACAGCCCAAGGGAAAUCCGAGCUUUUCUCUCUCACCCAGAGGGCCAUUCUCUCCGCAACACAGGGACGCAGUGACGGCAGAAUGAAGCAGAAAUGCAAGCCUGAGAACAGAGCUGGCCUGUACUCUCGGUGUCAGAGGGCAGCUGAACUCCUCCCUCCUCUGUCUCCGCAGAAAAGAAGACUUAAGAGUGUCCGUUUCUCCCCUUUCCAGCCCAGGGAAUUCAGGUCUGGCCCACCAAAAACAGAACAGGCAUCCUCUGAAGCCCCGUGCUCCUUCCAGAGAGGAAUGAAAAGGAGAGCUGUUUUCUUUUCCUCCUACGUGACUUCAUGACGCGCAGAGACUUCUGGGUUUCCUCACGGCUAAGAUUCCAGCUAAGAUUCCCUUGGCUCCCCUUGCUUUAUGACUUCCCAGCAGAGGUGCUCGCCCGCAGCCGCUCCCUGGGCUUCACCCAUCACCUGACAGUGUUCCUAAGUGCCUCCACGUCUCAGACACUGGGAUGGAGCCAGGGUGCACAGACGAACAGCCCCUGUCCCUUGGGUGGGGCAGUUUCUCCCCACACCCAGUCUCCCAACCUCUAUCCUGGACGGCGUGUCCACUCCACAAUGGAGCCAGAAGACGAUGCCGAUACCUGCAGUUCAACACUGUCAAGGCUCACGGAGCUCACCCCAGU